rnacentral:lncRNA from 1 species
AAGCAUUCACACAAUCACUUCCGGGGCCAAGCGUUCACACAAUCACUUCCGGGCCCAAGCGUUCAUAUAUCACCUCUCGGGCCAAGGUGGGAAUUUGGCAGAGCUGCGCCUGACUCUGCCAUGGUGAACGAGGGGGACAUUGUCUAAGCCACAGGGGAAGCAUGUGUCCUUCCUCGCUGGACAUCAUUUUCCAGAGCACAAAAGGGUGUGGGGCUCUCUUAACCUUGGGGUAAAAAUCCCACGUUGUGAAAACAUGAACACAGGUGCUAGGAAUACCUGGGCUUCUGGCCAGCCUCGGGCUUUUAAAUCCAACGUGGACUCACCCCAUCGGAGGAGGGAAGGACAGAAGCCAGGGAGCCUGGGUCCCCGUGGACGGCCGCGCAGCUGUCCCUGCUGCCAGGAUCGCUCUGCCCGGAGCCCAGGGUGGGCGCUGUCUGCUGAAGGCCGCGGUGAGAGAGUGAUCUCAGCUCAGAGGCUCAAGGGAGCAGCUGCACAGCUGCAGCUUACCGGUGGCAGCAGGGCCGGGGAACCCUGGAAAUGGGAGCCAUUUCAAGACCAGGGAACCGGGAGGAAACGGGACAAAGAUCUCGGGUUCUACUCAGUCACCUCCACCGCCUUCUCGAGCCAUGGAAAGAAAAGGUCCAGGAAUCAGCAGAGGGAAGCUAGGGAGAGGGCUGUGAGUGGAUUCUUGCAAGAUUAAGAACCAAUAUGUAUAACGCACAAUGGAGUAUUUCUCUGCCACGAAGAGAGAGAAACUUGAAGCAUCCACAGACAUAAAACCAAGGAAAUUUUGAGAUACUACCAACAACUGGCCAAUGGCACAGGAACGGACAAUAAAACAAUGCUGAAGUCUCUGGGCCUGGCCUCCCUGCGUGUCUAGGAGCAGUACUAGAACUUGAAGGUCUUCAUACCAAAACUCAAGAACUCAGCAAUGAGUCAUGAUUCCUCCUGCCAUAGUACUGGCCUUAGUCUAAAGGCUACCAAAUGAGCUUCCACUAUAUGGCUUUUCAUAAGUUACUGCCUCAAUAAAAUGAUUUAUUUUUUUAAAAAAUUUCUAUUAUCUUAUGACUGGGGAAACUUCCAGUUUAAAAAAAAAAUGCUUAAACUUUAGGAUUUUUUCAUCUGUUUCCCAUAUAUCCCCUUAUAGAGACUUUAUCCCUGUUAUGCCCCAAUACAAAAAUUAAAAGUCUUAACCUGUUGAAUUCUCUGUGGUACCAACUCUGGCCUGUCUAGGUCUCCAAUUAUCAUUUGCACCUGAUCCCUGGAACCCUGUUGGUUUUGUAGGGUGCCCCACCAUUUACAUUACACGCUGCCAACCUCCUUCAUCCUAUUUGCUUGCCUCGUUCCAUUACCCAUUUGGUAUCUGUCACAGAAACUUUAUUUUUUCAUUUAAGUUUUGGAACUUGGCAAUUUAUUAUUGAAUACAUUCAUGGAGUAUGAAAUGAUAUAACUUGUGAAUACAAUAUGAAAUAAUGAAAUCCAGCCAAUCAAUAUAUCUAUCAUCUCAAAUAAUUGUCAUCAUCAUUAUUAUUUGUGUGUAUUUUUGGAUCCUUUUGCAUUUAGGCAAGUGCUCUGCUACUGAACUAUGGCCUCAGCCUAAUAUUUAUCAUCUUUGUAGUGAAAACAUCUGAAAUUUACUUUCUUAGCAAUUUUUAAAUGUACAGUAUGGAAGGGGAAAGGAAAGAAGGGAAAGGAAAAAUUAUGAGAAAAGAAAAAAAUGGAAAUGAUGUCUAUGUAAAUAGGGAAGGGUGGAGGGGAUGAAGGGCGCACAAGUAAUGGGGAAAAAAUAAGAAUCAAGAUACAUCAUGCACAGGGACAGGCACCCAAUGAUAAAUGUAAAUGAAUUGUAUACCUAAAAUGUACCAAUAAAAGAA